GUCUGCAUAGAUUAUUAUAAAUCAUAAUGCUGUUAACUUUAAGAUGGGAUUAGUCCCUGCAGUCG
rnacentral:tRNA from 3 species